UACGGAGGGGGCUAGCGUUGUUCGGAAUUACUGGGCGUAAAGCGCACGUAGGCGGCUUUGCAAGUUAGAGGUGAAAGCCCGGAGCUCAACUCCGGAAUUGCCUUUAAAACUGCAUCGCUAGAAUUGUGGAGAGGUGAGUGGAAUUCCGAGUGUAGAGGUGAAAUUCGUAGAUAUUCGGAAGAACACCAGUGGCGAAGGCGGCUCACUGGCUCGAACCUGACGCUGAGGUGCGAAAGCGUGGGGAGCAAACAGG
rnacentral:rRNA from 1 species